GAUGGGUGGGUAAGAGGUGGAUUCUGCUCUUAUGUCGAUGGCUUUUCCCCAUAAUACAGGCUUCUGUUUCUGUCUUUUCAAAUCUUUUCCCCAUUACUUUCUUGAGUUGAUAAAUCAUUACAUUUCUUGUUCUUUCUGGAAGGGUCCCCUCCCCCCAUCUAUAUUGGGGGAUUUCUGGAAAAAUAAUGAAUAGCCUAAGAGAUGAGAUCGAGUUAAUUGCCAAACAAUACAGCUAAUAUUAAGCAUUUUUAUUUCUUAGAUUAAAAUGUUUAUUGCAAGCAGUGUAUUAUGUAGAAUAUUUGGAAAUGUCUGGAGUGUGCAGACCCCCGGAUGCCUUGAUCUUUCAUUUUUUUAUUGAGUAAUUGGAAAUAAAAGAAUCUCAUUUGAUGCAUUUUGAGUUUUCAAAGAAAGAUAAUGUUCUAAAGCCAUAACCUCAAAGAACUAAGCAGUCUCUCAACUGGAGCCCAUUAUUUGAAUCUGUACUUUUAAUAGAAACAUUUAACUCAGAACUCAUUGAUCUGGAAUUUCAGCCCACUUGCUUUAAACUGCACAAUUGGUUUUUCCUAACACAUCUGUUGAAAUGUAUUGAACAUUCACUACAACCUGUCAUUAGGGAGACGUUGAAAGGCCCAGCCACGAAGCUUUUGCUAAGUCGGUUGCCUGGGGAAGUUCUGUGCUUAGCUGCUGCCCUCUGAGGAGGAGCAGGGCUACUUAACCUGAGACUGCAGAGGGGUCAGGUGAGGACCUGGCCAUUUGAUUUCUGCUUUGCUAACCGGGCCAAGCUGCUUUCAGGGCUUUGCUGGUGCUUAAGUGUUAGCUUUCCCCAGUUUCUGCAUCCUAGCUUCUCCCAGUGCCUGCUCUGAGCUCCCAUGCUUCACCGUCCUCUGUCUGUGAUGGGCAGAGACUGAGUGGGAACCACUUUCACGGCCGUCACUGUCUUCAGCGUCAUCUACAUUUCACGAUUUGUCAGGUGUCAUACUUAAACUAGCUUUUAAGCUUUCAAAAGCAAAUAAUACUCCAUAAAAGCAAGUCCUGGGUGGGGGGAGGGAGACACGUGGAUUUAGAAAUGGUGUGCCAUGAAAACCUGUACAGCUAUUGUCAGCAGAGUGACUCUUGGCUCAGAGCAUCCUAUUUGAACCCAGAAGACCACCCAUUUCCCAUCUGAUAACAUACUCAUGUUUUUUUAAAGAUUUAUUUUGUUUUAUGUACAUGAGUAUACUGUAGCUGUACAGAUGGUUGUGAGCCUUCAUGUGGUUGCUGGGAAUUGAAUUUUAGGACCUCUGCUCGCUCUGGUCAAUCCCACUCGCUCCAGCCCAAAGAUUUAUUAUUAUUAUUAUUAUUAUUAUUAUUAUAAAUAAGUACACUGUAGUUGAUUUCAGAUGUACCAGAAGAGGGUGGCAGAUCUCCUAAUGAGUGGUUGUGAGCCACCAUGUGGUUUGCUGUGAUUUGAACUCAGGACUUUUGGAAGAGCUCUUACCUGCUGAGCCAUCUCGCCAACCCAAACAUACUCACUAUAUGGAUGCGCUUGCACCAACAGCUAGGAGUGGGCAGAGGACCUGAACAUGUUGAUAGGAAUUUCCUCCAUGGACUCAAAAUCAGGCAGUGGCUUACAGGAGGAUAAUACCCAACUGCCAUUUAUGCCAGUGGCUUUAUCUGCAUGAGGCUGAGGCAGUCUCUUGGCCCCUCCACCUGGAGUAGACUUCUUGACUCUUAUCUUCAUGAGCUUGACUUUUCUGGCGACCUUCUUUGCCUGGUGAGUGGACCCCUCCCCAUAGCCCCUUAACAGAAUCUAUUUCUAUCUGCCAAUCAAACCCAGUUCUGACUGAUAUACUCUUGACAGGGUUUCUGGGAGACACAAGCUGGUGGGAUGAUUCUCAAUGGAAGACAAUAAACAUUUACAUUUUUAAUUAUAUAUUUACCAUAAGGCACACUGAGAAAAACUAUAAACAUGGUAUUACUGCUUAGAAUAACUGAAAAAUCCAUGGGCUUAAGUUUAAAAAUGUUGUUUUGAAGGAACUCAUUCAUGAAGUGAUGGUGUGGAUAUCUGUGGCUGUAGGGAGAAAUGCAAAUGGGAUGGAUCAAAGUCACUGGCCACUACCACAACUACAUGGGAAAGAAAACUCUAGAUUUGGACUUAGGGAAGUUCUCUAUACUGUCAGGGCCAGGGAUGUUAGAGUUAAGAGAGGCUGGAAGCAGCCAAAACUGGGGAAACCCUUCUGCCAUGGCUUGGGGGAAAGCCCAGGGUUUAGAGUUGAUCUGGGUUGAACUUCUCUGAGAUCUCCAGAUGACCCUUCACACAUCCUUUUGUAUAGCAUUGAGAAUCUGGUCCAGGACCAUGUAUGUUGAAUCUCAGUGGUCAAAUUCACAGUAUCUGGAAUCAGCUAAGAGACAUGUCUAUGGGCACAUACCAGGAGGUAUCGUCUUGAUUAGGUUAAUUGAAGUAGGAAGUCUCAAUGUGCGUGGCACCUUCUGGUGGCAGGUAGACAAAAGGGGGUCCAAGGAAAAAUCUUAUCACUUCAGCCUGGUUGCCUCCCAUCUUGCUGGGCAGUCCAGUUAUCCUGCUUGUGACUUCCUCAGUUCUGUUGCUGUGACUGCCACUACCACUGAACUCCUUCCCUGGUAACAACUCAGCUCUGUGGGUUUCCAACCUGGUCUCUCCAGGAAUCCUUCAGGUCUCGGCACCAGAGAGAGGACUACGGAGACACUUGGCCUCGUGGAAGCAGGUGUGCAGCCUCGUCAGAAUAACGAUACCUGUUCUGGACGACAGAAGUAUCAGUCAAGCCAGAAUCUAUUUUAAGUAGGCUCCUGCUCGCUGCCUUGAAAAAGUAUCCCGGCAGACGACAGUGCCAUGACGGCGAGCAUCCAAGAACACCACAGGAAAGACACAGCUGCGUCCAAAGAGCACAUUCCAAGCUUAUAAAGGCCUGAAACUGGAAAUUUCCUUCCGCUCCCAGAGCCGUCUCCUGAGCAAACAUGUUCAAACAGAGACCUCCAUCCUGUCUUCACUCCGAAUGCGAAAACCUGUCGACAGCCUUCGUAAAAAGACUGUUAGGUAAUUAUCAUCCCCUUGAGCCGGCUAUGAGCUGAAGCAUAUAGCAGAAGAUUCAACCAUUUAGAAAACAAUCCCAAUCAACCUUUCAGGGCUGGGUGUGGCUCACUUGCCUAUGUGCAUGGAGCUCAGAGUUAAGUUCCUAUCGCUGAGAAACAUGAAGUAAAAGAAGCAAGACAAAAACCAAAACCAAAACAAACAAAAAUACCAUCAAGAAUUAAACCAGGACAACCAUCUCUGCUACUGAGGGAGACCUUCCCCUAAUUCUCAGCACCAGGGAAUUUUCCCCUUAAACUUUCCAUCACUUCUGUAAGCUAGUGUUCAAUGGAACGGUACAUAUGUUGUUUUAGCUCAUUGAGUUCGGCUUACUUAGCUCUUUCCACUAAGAUAUGGAAUAAAUCUUUUGGUUUUUAACUGGGAAUGUGUUUUACUCUAAUACUCGAAGUUUCCAUUAGACCAAGGAGUCGGCCCAUCACAGCUGAUGGUUUCUUCCUGUUGGGUAUGGUCACAUAGUUUUACUACAAUUACUAUUUGAUAGUGUCAAAUUUCCUGAAUAUAUUUUCCAUGUCUCUACUUUUUCUUGAUGUAUUUUAAUUCUUUCAUCCCCACCUCCAUCCCCCUCUUGACAAGGUCUCACUGUGGAGCCCUGGGUGUCCUGGAGCUCACAAAGAUCUGCCUGUCUCUCCAUCCAAGUGCUAGGAUUAAAGGCUAGUGCUACCACAGCAGCUUCGGUCACAGCACCGAAUACCUGCAUGAGUUUCUGCUUUAUAUAUCUGAGUUUACUUGAAAUGAGAACCUGUGCGAUAUAAUAAAGGCCUUGGCAAGAAAAGUCUGGUGG
rnacentral:lncRNA from 1 species